rnacentral:misc_RNA from 1 species
GCUCGAUGCAUACCAAAUCCUCAAGUAUCCAUUGACCACCGAGUCCGCAAUGAAGAAGAUAGAGGACAACAACACACUCGUCUUCAUAGUGGAUCUUCGAGCAGACAAGAAAAAGAUCAAAGCUGCAGUGAAGAAGAUGUAUGACAUCCAGACCAAGAAAGUGAAUACCCUGAUCAGGCCUGAUGGCACCAAGAAGGCAUAUGUGAGAUUGACUCCGGACUACGAUGCACUUGACAUUGCAAACAAAAUUGGUAUCAUUUAGGUGUUUGUUUUCUAGACUCUGAUUUUGUUAAACUUCAAAUUAGUCGGUCAUUUCUGAGUUUUUAAGGAACUUUAAUUUAUGAUUAGUAUGCUGAGGAUGCUCUUUU